AACACCACCUGGGACUUGGUGGCUGACAUUGAGAAGGUACAGCGGCGCUGUUGGUUCCUUGAGGCCAGGUCGAGUUGAGGUAGGGGAUAGGAAGGUUGAGCCGCUCGGGUGCUGAUCAUGUACAACGGCGCUCUUUUCAGCAUCGACCCGACCAAACCAAUGAUGCAAGGCUUCUCCUGCUACUGCAGAUUACUUCUUCCAUUAAUCACCUAGUGCUCCUCAGAGGACAAGGGCUUCAUGGCCAACCAAGGUGCAUGGUGCUUGCAAUCGACGAACGGAGGCUGAUCGACAUUGGCUACACAAACCACCACUGUGAGCUCCUCCCAUUGCUAUGCUACAACCAUGCUCUGUUUCAUGGGUCAGUUAGGAUUUUGAUGCUUUUAGCGCCGUGGUUGAGUCCUUGCUGACUGUUGUGUCGAUGAUCAAUUGCUGGUGCUUCAUAUGGCUAUUUGAUUUGCUGCUGCUAAUUAGUAGUAUUAGAGUGCCGCUGGUUUAUUAGGAUGUUGCUGAAACCAUUGGAUGGCCUUCCUGGACAUGUUAUCCAGAAUUAGUACUUGUCCCAUUUUCUGUUUACUUGCUGGACAUGCUAUGGUUCAAGUGUCGAUGAUGUCUAGUAGUAGUUUGCUAGCUAUAUACCUACUACUGAUUGAUGCUCUUUUGG